ensembl:lncRNA
AGUUUGAACUGGGCUUCUGUCCUCUACAAAUGAAAGGAUAUUAUCCUCGUGCGCCCAUUUUAGAGAUGAAGAGACUGAGGACCAAAGAGCUCUAUCUUACCCCAAGUCACUCAGCUUUCUGGAGGCAGAGCAGGGACAAGGACUCUGCUCUAACUCCCAUUCCAGCAAACUCCCCGGAUUCCACACAGCCUAGGGCUGCUGCCCUCAGCGGUCUGGCCAGUGCCCUGGUGCCGCUGCGGUUCGGGCAACCAGUCUGUACUAAAAGGCCUUCUGCCUUCAGUGAAAGCCUGCUUCUCUUAUGAGGCGGCAAAGCCAAAGGGAACCCGCUGUUCUUGGCAGACGUAAGCCGACUUCUAAACAGCCCCAACUGCGGCUGCGACAGCGCUGCGUGCCCAGAUGUUUCUCGCUCGCCUCUUUGUGCCCGACACCCCACCCCCUCGAGUACAUGAAAGCCCUCGGGCGGCUGCCCGCCCUGCCUUUAUUUCAUACACAAACAUACCCAACAUCUGCCCCUCGGCCGGGGAGCCCUGCAGAACAUCAGGGGACGUGUGGAAGAUAAUUAUUCCAUGAGAUCCAAAGAUAUGUCUCGCGGACAUAAAUCUUGGGGAGUCUCUAUGGAAACACACAAAAAUGCAUGUUGUUUUUAUUAAUACUCACAAGGAAACGUCUCUGGAAUCAACCGCUUGUUUUAAACCACAGCAGAAGAGCCAGUGUGUUUCUCGUUCAAGAGCAUCUGUGGGCCUUUUUUAAUUAUGGACGGAGCAGCCGACAGAAAAGAACCCGCCAAGUCCAGGAGGCCCAGGUGACGUGAUCGUUGCUCGCGGAAGCACUGUCACCCUUUCCUCUGAAAGACCCGUUCUUGCCUGAGCCUGCCGAGGAUGGCAGAGGCCGGCGCGCAGGGCCCGCUUGGGGACACGCAGCCCACGAAUCCAGCUCUUACUGGAGAAGAGAAGGCUGCAGGCCCCAGGCUCUUUCUUGCUGUAGCUCACACACUUCUGCACAGCUGCGGGAAGGGAGCCUGGGUUCGCAUCUGGCUCCCCCACAUGCCCCUGUGAGGCCCGCAGCCGGCCUCCCCUCCCCCUUUAUCUCCUCGUCUGUAAAUGCGAGCAUCUCACAGCACCCGCUUCCCAGGCAACUUGGAGGCUUAAUGGGGAUAAGAGCCUUUGAUGAGCAUCUGGUCCCAGGCGAACGCUCGCAGAUGGGGGCUGCGGGAGAAGAAAGACCACGAACACUCUGAUGUCACUCCCACCGAGAGGUGAAAUCUGUGUCCCCUCCCCUUGAUCCUGGGCAGCUCUGCAAAGGACGCCUGGAAGCGAUGCUGGGCCAGGGUCUGGGCUCUGGGUCUUAGCUUCCUCCACUUCCUGCCUCUUGAAAUGCUUGCUCUUGGGACCGCCGUGCUGUGGCGAAGCCCAAAGCCACGAGGAGCCAGCACAGAGAGGGGGACACCAGCCAGCCCCAGGCCGUCCCUGCCGCCCCAGCCCAGGCACCAAGACAAGAGUGAGGACGCCCCUGUGGACGGCCAGGCCAUCAGUCGGGACUCCAGCCCCAUCCUCCUCUGACCACAACCGAGCAAGACCCAGGCAGGUGGGUCCGGUCAGUCCGUAAACCAUCACAAGAAAGGACUGUUUGAAGCCGCUGAGGUUUGGGCUCUUUGUUUUCUAAAGCGUGAUCCAGACGUCGCGACUGAUAAGCCUCAUCAUCCACAGCCCACUGCCAAAGGCACUUACAGCAGCAGUGAGGGCCCAGGAUGCUUCAGGAGGGAAGGCUGGCCCGAUCUGCUGGCCCGAGGGCCACCGAGCCACCUUCCCUCAAGCCCCGGACACGGGCUCUCCGAGUUCUUUCCACGCCCUGGCCUAAGGCGGGGCCAGCCCAUCCCACAGAGACCGUGCACGGAACAGCCCACCUCUGCAACAUCGGCCCUUUUACGGUACUGAUGUAUUUUUGCAAAAGAUGAAUAAAAUUAAACAAAGGACAGGGACCUUCAAAAAUCAACUCAGGGUGAAAACUUUGAGGACGAGACCCGCCAGGUGCCCAGUCAAAGUCACAGAGCGUGUGAUACUGACGACUGCCACCAUUUCCAAAAUGCUGUCACCUGCUGGGCACAGCACCCCCAGCUGGCAAAACCUCUCCACACACCGUCUCUCCAUCCAGCCCUGCUGCGACCUGUGCGGUCACGGAGCUGCCCCCCCGCCCCCACCCCGUACAGAGGAGCCCCCCCGGGCUGGGGAAGGCUCCGUGGCCCGUGGCCACCACCAUGAGCGGCUGAGCUGGCAUCUGAGCCCGGGGCCUCCCAGCUACGGAAGCGCUGGGCUCAGACCUCAGGUCCUGACACCCUGCCCAGGGCUCUCCUCCUUAGGGCGUCUCUUCUCACAGCACGUGGAGUGACAUGUCUUGCUUUUUAGGUGACAACGGAGAGGAAUCACACCCUCCAGGGAGUUGGAUUCUAGUCACAAGAAGGGUUUACGAAGCACCUCCCCGCCACCAUCGCAUCUGACCCCCAAGAGUCCUCAGGGUGGGCCCCCGGGGACAUCCCGGUGACAUUCCUGGCGGUGAGGAGACAGGGAGCCAGCGAAGGAAGAACCUUGGCCGUGACCCUUCACCCGUGUGUGGCAAGGCCAGCCCGCCCUGGGCCUCAGUUUUACACCCGCGAAGAGAGCUGCCGGGCCAGCCCUCCGGCUCAUCUCAGACUCCGUGUUUAUGCCCCAGAUCCUUCCAAGAAAACACAGAGCAAACAUCCCGUGAAGACUAAUAAUGCCGCUUCUUCCUUUUGUUUUACGACG